UGGUGCCAGCAGCCGCGGUAAUACGGAGGGUGCAAGCGUUACUCGGAAUCACUGGGCGUAAAGGGCGCGUAGGCGGAUUAUCAAGUCUCUUGUGAAAUCUAAUGGCUUAACCAUUAAACUGCUUGGGAAACUGAUAGUCUAGAGUGAGGGAGAGGCAGAUGGAAUUGGUGGUGUAGGGGUAAAAUCCGUAGAUAUCACCAAGAAUACCCAUUGCGAAGGCGAUCUGCUGGAACUCAACUGACGCUAAGCGCGA
rnacentral:rRNA from 1 species